UCACAGCAGAAAGAGAGGAAGUAGAAACGGGAUUCCGCUGUGGGCCUUCUGCCCCAGCUGACUGAAUUUCCACACACUCCAUAUAUGAAGAUUUCUUUUCCUAAAGCAUGGUAGAAUGAAUGCUGCUGGGCCCCACCCUAUCCCCUUUACCAUCUGAGUGUUGGCUGUUAACACUCACAGCUGUCUGCUCUCUCUGGAGAACUGGACUGUAACCACCCACCUCCUCCACAGCAGACCUGGGUCAAUGACUAACUGGCAGAGGGGUAUGAAGAGCUGGUGCCUUUGCCUUGAGGUGGGACUAAUGUUGGUGCAGUUUAUGCUACAGAGCUUCU
rnacentral:lncRNA from 1 species